UGGGGAAUAUUGCACAAUGGGCGCAAGCCUGAUGCAGCCAUGCCGCGUGUAUGAAGAAGGCCUUCGGGUUGUAAAGUACUUUCAGCGGGGAGGAAGGCGAUAAGGUUAAUAACCUUGUCGAUUGACGUUACCCGCAGAAGAAGCACCGGCUAACUCCGUGCCAGCAGCCGCGGUAAUACGGUGGGUGCAAGCGUUAAUCGGAAUUACUGGGCGUAAAGCGCACGCAGGCGGUCUGUCAAGUCGGAUGUGAAAUCCCCGGGCUCAACCUGGGAACUGCAUUCGAAACUGGCAGGCUAGAGUCUUGUAGAGGGGGGUAGAAUUCCAGGUGUAGCGGUGAAAUGCGUAGAGAUCUGGAGGAAUACCGGUGGCGAAGGCGGCCCCCUGGACAAAGACUGACGCUCAGGUGCGAAAGCGUGGGGAGCAAACA
rnacentral:rRNA from 1 species